rnacentral:rRNA from 1 species
UAAAAAUUUAAUUAAAAAUAUUUAAGUAGUAUUAGUUAAGAUCUUUAAAUUUAAAAAAUUUGGCGGUAUUUUAGUCUAUUCAGAGGAACCUGUUUUGUAAUCGAUAAUCCACGAUGGAUCUUACUUAAAUUUGUUUAGUUUAUAUAUCGUCGUUAAAAGAAUAUUUUAUAAGAAUAAUAAUUUUCUUAAUUUUUAAAUUUAAAAUAUAUCAGAUCAAGAUGUAGCUUAUGUUUGAGUUUAUAAUGGGUUACAAUUAUAAUAUUAUUGGAAAUUAAUAUGUAAUUUAUUAAUUGAAAUUGGAUUUGAUAGUAAAUUUAUAUAGAUUAAUAAAUUGAUUAUAGCUCUAAAAUAUG